GUUUCAAGCAGCCGCGGCGUUAGCGGCGGCGGCGGCAGCAACCCCGAGCUCAGGAAACCUCUCCGCCGGCUCCGGUUGGCUCUCCCGGGCUCUUUCCAGAGCACGGCUGAAGGUAAUGAGAGGCCCCAAGAUCCCAGAGGAUGCCAUCACAGGAAACAUCAGGAAAGCUUUGAGGACUUCUUCACUUCCUGCCUUACCCAGAGCAGACAUCAGAAAAGAAAACAGGACACGAGAGUGAAGAGCCCAGGCAAACUCGCUGAGCCAACCUGGUGUCUGCCAGACCCAUCGCUGGAAGGUAAGUGCUUCAACUCCUAGUCCAAUGCAUUUGCAUUUUCUGCUUUGACAUAGGACCCCCCCCAAAAGUAAUAAUACUGAA